AGUGAACGCUGGCGGUAGGCCUAACACAUGCAAGUCGAACGGCAGCACAGUAAGAGCUUGCUCUUACGGGUGGCGAGUGGCGGACGGGUGAGGAAUACAUCGGAAUCUACUUUUUCGGGGGGGAUAACGUAGGGAAACUUACGCUAAUACCGCAUACGACCUACGGGUGAAAGCAGGGGAUCUUCGGACCUUGCGCGAUUGAAUGAGCCGAUGUCGGAUUAGCUAGUUGGCGGGGUAAAGGCCCACCAAGGCGACGAUCCGUAGCUGGUCUGAGAGGAUGGUCAGCCACACUGGAACUGAGCCACGGUCCAGACUCCUACGGGAGGCAGCAGUGGGGAAUAUUGGACAAUGGGCGCAAGCCUGAUCCAGCCAGACCGCGUGGGUGAAGAAGGCCUUCGGGUUGUAAAGCCCUUUUGUUGGGAAAGAAAAGCAGCAGGUUAAUACCCCGCUGUUCUGACGGUACCCAAAGAAUAAGCACCGGCUAACUUCGUG
rnacentral:rRNA from 1 species